CCUACGGGUGGCAGCAGUGGGGAAUAUUGGGCAAUGGGCGCAAGCCUGACCCAGCAACGCCGCGUGAGGGAAGAAGGCUUUCGGGUUGUAAACUUCUUUUGUCAGGGAAGAAUAGAAGACUAUACCUGACUACUCGGCCACGGCUAACUACUUUCCAGCAGCCGCGGUAAUACGUAGGUGGCAAGCGUUGUCCGGCUUUACUGGGUGUAAAGGGCGUGUAGCCGGGUUGUUAAGUCAGAUGUGAAAUCCUGCGGCUUAACCGCAGAACGGCAGUGGAAACUGUUGAUCUUGAGUACUGGAGAGGCAGACGGAAUUCCUAGUGUAGCGGUGAAAUGCGGAGAGAUUAGGAGGAACACCAGUGGCGAAGGCGGUCUGCUGGACAGCAACUGACGGUGAGGCGCGAAAGCGUGGGGAGCAAACAGGAUUAGAUACCCGGGUAGUC
rnacentral:rRNA from 1 species